rnacentral:rRNA from 1 species
AGUGAACGCUGGCGGUAGGCCUAACACAUGCAAGUCGAACGGCAGCACAGGAGAGCUUGCUCUCUGGGUGGCGAGUGGCGGACGGGUGGGGAAUACAUCAGAAUCUACCUUUUUCGUGGGGGAUAACGUAGGGAAACUUACGCUAAUACCGCAUACGACCUACGGGUGAAAGUGGGGACGGCAAGGCCUCACGCGAUUAGAUGAGCCGAUGUCCGAUUAGCUAGUUGGCGGGGUAAUGGCCCACCAAGGCGACGAUCGGUAGCUGGUCUGAGAGGAUGAUCAGCCACACUGGAACUGAGACACGGUCCAGACUCCUACGGGAGGCAGCAGUGGGGAAUAUUGGACAAUGGGCGCAAGCCUGAUCCAGCCAUACCGCGUGGGUGAAGAAGGCCUCGGUUGU